rnacentral:tRNA from 1 species
AUUUAUGGUAGCAUAAAAAAUGCAAUUAACUGUUAAUUAAUAGAAAUCUAAGCCUAGAUCCAUAAAA